rnacentral:rRNA from 1 species
GAUGAACGCUGGCGGCGUGCCUAAUACAUGCAAGUCGAGCGAACGGACGAGAAGCUUGCUUCUCUGAUGUUAGCGGCGGAUGGGUGAGUAACACGUGGAUAACCUACCUAUAAGACUGGGAUAACUUCGGGAAACCGGAGCUAAUACCGGAUAAUAUUUUGAACCGCAUGGUUCAAAAGUGAAAGACGGUCUUGCUGUCACUUAUAGAUGGAUCCGCGCUGCAUUAGCUAGUUGGUAAGGUAACGGCUUACCAAGGCAACGAUGCAUAGCCGACCUGAGAGGGUGAUCGGCCACACUGGAACUGAGACACGGUCCAGACUCCUACGGGAGGCAGCAGUAGGGAAUCUUCCGCAAUGGGCGAAAGCCUGACGGAGCAACGCCGCGUGAGUGAUGAAGGUCUUCGGAUCGUAAAACUCUGUUAUUAGGGAAGAACAUAUGUGUAAGUAACUGUGCACAUCUUGACNGUACCUAAUCAGAAAGCCACGGCUAACUACGUGCCAGCAGCCGCGGUAAUACGUAGGUGGGCAGCGUUAUCCGGAAUUUAUGGGCGUNAAGCGCGCGUAGGCGGUUUUUUAGUCUGAUGUGAAAGCCCACGGCUCAACCGUGGAGGGUCAUUGGAAACUGGAAAACUUGAGUGCAGAAGAGGAAAGUGGAAUUCCAUGUGUAGCGGUGAAAUGCGCAGAGAUAUGGAGGAACACCAGUGGCGAAGGCGACUUUCUGGUCUGUAACUGACGCUGAUGUGCGAAAGCGUGGGGAUCAAACAGGAUUAGAUACCCUGGUAGUCCACGCCGUAAACGAUGAGUGCUAAGUGUUAGGGGGUUUCCGCCCCUUAGUGCUGCAGCUAACGCAUUAAGCACUCCGCCUGGGGAGUACGACCGCAAGGUUGAAACUCAAAGGAAUUGACGGGGACCCGCACAAGCGGUGGAGCAUGUGGUUUAAUUCGAAGCAACGCGAAGAACCUUACCAAAUCUUGACAUCCUUUGACAACUCUAGAGAUAGAGCCUUCCCCUUCGGGGGACAAAGUGACAGGUGGUGCAUGGUUGUCGUCAGCUCGUGUCGUGAGAUGUUGGGUUAAGUCCCGCAACGAGCGCAACCCUUAAGCUUAGUUGCCAUCAUUAAGUUGGGCACUCUAAGUUGACUGCCGGUGACAAACCGGAGGAAGGUGGGGAUGACGUCAAAUCAUCAUGCCCCUUAUGAUUUGGGCUACACACGUGCUACAAUGGACAAUACAAAGGGCAGCGAAACCGCGAGGUCAAGCAAAUCCCAUAAAGUUGUUCUCAGUUCGGAUUGUAGUCUGCAACUCGACUACAUGAAGCUGGAAUCGCUAGUAAUCGUAGAUCAGCAUGCUACGGUGAAUACGUUCCCGGGUCU